UGCCAGCAGCCGCGGUAAUACGGAGGGGGUUAGCGUUGUUCGGAAUUACUGGGCGUAAAGCGCGCGUAGGCGGAUUGGAAAGUUAGGGGUGAAAUCCCAGGGCUCAACCCUGGAACUGCCUCUGAUACUGGCAAUCUAGAGUUCGAGAGAGGUGAGUGGAAUUCCGAGUGUAGAGGUGAAAUUCGUAGAUAUUCGGAGGAACACCAGUGGCGAAGGCGGCUCACUGGCUCGAUACUGACGCUGAGGUGCGAAAGCGUGGGGAGCAAACAGGAUUAGAUA
rnacentral:rRNA from 1 species